rnacentral:lncRNA from 1 species
UGACAUAAUAUUAACAUGAGAAAGAGUUUACAAUAAAUUGAGGUCCCGACGUUUUACCGCCAAGUGAUUCCUAUCGAUUAGUCGUAGGAACACUUACCAGUUACCACUAUGAUUAAUCAACCACGGAGUAUGAACCUUUUAACGCCUAAACUAAAAAAAAAAUUGAGAGAAGAUAUGAGAAUGAAGAAAUGAGAAUGAUGGAAAAAAUGAAAGGAAAUGUCUCAAUUUAUAGAAUUUUCGCUUCAAUUCUAUUGGAUGAACAAAGUAACAACCUCCUUAAUGGCCUAUAAAUCGUCCUUGACCAUUGACUGUUACUAAAGAGCACUAAAUUUCUGGCCACCGUCCAUCCGCUACUUAAGUAGCGGAACCAUUUUUUAACCGUUACAACAUUCCGCUACUUAAGUAGCGGACAUUAACUGUAUAGUCCAUGACCAAAAUAACAAAAAAUAAACAUACUAACAUUACCAAAAAAAAGAAAAUAAACAUAAGAAGGGAAAGCGAGAGGCAUGCCUUCAGUAUACUGAAGGUGCCUAUUUAUAGGCAAUUUGGCUGCACCAAGGGCCAAUUAAAAUUGAUCACUUGGCAGACCUUUGGUCGAUGCAGGAGCUUUUGACCAUAGAGUAAAACGUUGGAUGAACUUAAUGACCCUAAUUCCUGAAUGUGAAAGCUAGUUGUUGACUUAAUUGCUACUCAAGCAAUUGUCUCUAGAGCAAUAUACUCCACCCCAUUUUUAGAUGAUGAAAAAAGAUUCCGUCACACAAUGAUUCAGUCUUAUAGUGUUUUAAUACCCUUUUAAAUCUUGAUUUAUAAAAUUGAAGGUUCACUUUAUUUUUUAAGCAAAUAUCGGUACGAAAGAGGGUCUUGGGACAAAACACAUUUGCUCAAUUAUUAAGUUUCUUUUUGUUUUUAUCAAGACAAAGAUUGGAUAUUUUUUGAAUAAUCAAGGAUGAUAAAAUGGGUAUCUCAACAUGCAUGAAUGCAAAUAUGUGUGGAAAGAAAGUUCCAAAACUUACCGUAGCAAACGAAAGAGGGUAUCUUUCAGGGUUCUCGGCACAUAGCAUACUUGUUACAUAAUAAUAUUGUCUGAAAGAACUGUCAUCACUCACAACAGCAAGUUUGUAGGAUGCAUACCAGAGAGGCUAUACCACCUAUAUGAUCGAUCGAUUCAAUGCUGCAUAACCGAGAGGCCAGUUAUAAGAGUUCACAGGUAUUCCAUUACUAAAUCCAAGACUUGCAUUUAUAAUUAUCAACAAAAAUCUAGUGCUAUCUAAUUAUUUUACAACCACCUGCAGUUAAAAACAUUGACAAAACUACCUCAGUAUGGUUUCCUCCGUUGAUCACAAUGCAAGCAUAUCCUUAUAUGACAUAGGUGGUUGGUCUGCA